CCGGCAAACGGGUGCGGAACACGUACAGAACCUCCCUUUAAGCGGGGGAUAGCCCGGAGAAAUCCGGAUUAAUACCCCAUAGUAAUGUUGGGUGGCAUCACUUGAUAUUUAAAGAUUUAUCACUUAGAGAUGGCUGUGCGGCUGAUUAGGUAGUUGGCGGGGUAAAGGCCCACCAAGCCAUCGAUCAGUAACUGGUGUGAGAGCACGACCAGUCACACGGGCACUGAGACACGGGCCCG
rnacentral:rRNA from 1 species